AUUUCCCCUCUCACGGUGAUUUUUUUUUUUCUCAAGGAUUGUUACAUAUUGUAUCUUUUUCCUGACACUGGGUGUGGUUUUCCCACGCUGGCACCCUAAAUGACAAGGUUACCCUUACUCUGCCUCUUUUGCGACUUAUCAGAGGCAGAGGAGUGUGACGCGCCUGGCUCGCUCCGUGCCUGAUUUUGUUUUCUUCCCUGUGUUUUGUCAGAAAUAAAAUUCUUAAAAUCAGGUCCUUUGUGGCG